rnacentral:rRNA from 1 species
UACAGAGGGGGCAAGCGUUGUUCGGAAUUACUGGGCGUAAAGGGCGCGUAGGCGGCCUUCUAAGUCGAACGUGAAAUCCCCGGGCUCAACCCGGGAACUGCGUCCGAUACUGGAAGGCUUGAAUCCGGGAGAGGGAUGCGGAAUUCCUGGUGUAGCGGUGAAAUGGCGCAGAUAUCAGGAAGAACACCCGUGGCGAAGGCGGCUCUCUGGGACGGUACUGACGCUGAGACGCGAAAGCGUGGGGAGCGAACAGG